rnacentral:misc_RNA from 1 species
GGUACCGGGGGUUCGAAUCCCCCCCUCUCCGCCAGAUUUGAUUUUUGUCACAGGCCUCAGAGGCCGGAUUGCCGAUAGAAGUGACAGCCGGGUCCUGCGCAACGGACGGUCGCCAACCCCGUCAGGCCCGGAAGGGAGCAGCGGUAACGACUUGCUUCGUGUGCCGCGGGGGUGCCUGGCUGUCACUUGUGCCGGCAAUUCUUUUAUGCGUCGGCUGGUGCC